rnacentral:rRNA from 1 species
AUGGCGGGCUGGUCCUCUCUCGCGUACGACCUCGUCAUCGAAGUCGGCGACCGUCUCCUCGCAGCCGGCGACCUCGACUUCUACAUGAACAUGCGGGCCGUCUUCUGUGGCUGGCGGGACGCAACUGACAGCCCUAGGGCCAAUCCAGCGGACCCUCGCUUCCUCCACCGGCAGUGGGUCCUGCUGGACGAGAAGUUCCCAAGAGGUGUGACACCCUAG